UCUCUGUCCUUUGAGAUAACAUGCAUAGAUUUUUCUAGGUUUUGUGGAAACAACUAAUGUCACACGUUUCACGUUUUUCUACCCUACGAUUGGGACUUGACCAAUCUUUACGAUCAUAAGAGGUUUAUCCAAAUCUUUGAGUUUCAAUGUAUAGUAACCUCACACCGCAUGAAAAAAGGGUCAAAUUUACCUCUCCACUACUUAAAUUUGCCCUCCCUUAUACUAUAUCCGAAACAAAAGAAGACGUGAUACUAUUACCUAAAGGUCCAAAUAUACCAUUUAGCUCCCCCAUGCCCUUCCCUUGAGGAUGAACAAUACUACUAUUUAUCCAAAAUUAGUUUUUGCCAAUAUUGAGUGUAAAUUAUUAAGCCUCACUCGUGAUUUAUGAGUAAGUAGAAACCAUAAAAACGUCUACUUGAAGUGAGAAAAUGAUCUACAUUGGCCAGUUAUGAGAGGACAAGUAGUUUUUAUUCUUGAAAAUAUCUUUGUUGAACAUAAUACAAUGAAAAUGACAAAAUCCCAUUUUCUAGCUACUGCCAGGUAUUUGAUAAGGAUAUAUAUUAAUUAAAAUUAUAAGAAAGACAUUACGUGUCUUCAGCUACAAGGACUUUUGAGUUGUCUUAUGCAAAGUGAGCUUGUAUUAUAAACCACACAAGGAGAACGUAGUUAUUUCUCAAACUAUAAACCAAAAGCUCUCUCACACUUUAGUGGAGUAUUUUUACAAAAUUAGCACUUCCUAUAGGUGCAAGGCCAGAAAAAGUAGAAAAAUGGAUGCACCCCAAGUUCAAGAGGUGUCUUAUGAGGAGAUGUCUUAUGUUGAUCAUGUGAAACACCGACACGAGCAAAAAGGAUGCCUUUAUGCUUGUUUGUUCGCAAUGUGUUGCUGCUUCUGUUGCUUCGAGACAUGUGAGUGCUGUUUGGACAUGAUCUGCUGUUGUUGAUGUUCCUCCUAGUCCUAGCCAUGGCAACCCUAUGUUCCUAUGUUAGCAACAUAAGCUAAAAAAGGAAAUUUGUUCCUCCCUUUACUCUUAUGUUUCUUCCACUUCUCUUUUUUGUACCUCCCUCUGUAUAUUUAAAACUUUAAGUUGAAUAAACUUGUUAUGUAAUGAAUUCUAUUGGGCAUUGGCCGUGGCAAA